UACGAAGGGGGCUAGCGUUGUUCGGAAUUACUGGGCGGAAAGCGUGCGCAGGCGGUUUUGUAAGUCUGACGGGAAAGCCCCGGGCUUAACCUGGGAAUUGCGUUGGAGACUGCAAGGCUUGAAUCUGGCAGAGGGGGGUAGAAUUCCACGUGUAGCAGUGAAAUGCGUAGAGAUGUGGAGGAACACCGAUGGCGAAGGCAAUCCCCUGGGUCAAGAUUGACGCUCAUGCACGAAAGCGUGGGGAGCAAACAGG
rnacentral:rRNA from 1 species